AUACGUAGGGGGCUAGCGUUAUCCGGAAUUACUGGGCGUAAAGGGUGCGUAGGUGGUUUCUUAAGUCAGAAGUGAAAGGCUACGGCUCAACCGUAGUAAGCUUUUGAAACUAAGAGACUUGAGUGCAGGAGAGGAGAGUAGAAUUCCUAGUGUAGCGGUGAAAUGCGUAGAUAUUAGGAGGAAUACCAGUUGCGAAGGCGGCUCUCGGGACUGUAACUGACCCUGAGGCACGAAAGCGUGGGGAGCAAACAGGAUUAGAUACCCUGGUAGUCCACGCCGUAAACGAUGAGUACUAGCUGUCGGGGGUUACCCCCCUCGGUGGCGCAGCUAACGCAUUAAGUACUCCGCCUGGGAAGUACGCUCGCAAGAGUGAAACUCAAAUGAAUUGACGGGG
rnacentral:rRNA from 1 species